rnacentral:lncRNA from 1 species
GCCAGUUUCCCCAUCUAAAAGUGGAAAUAUUCCACAUAGUGCUGAGCUUGUCAGUGAACUGGCCCUGGGGAGACCCCGCACUCUCUGCAAAGUCCAGGAGGGUCUCUUGGCGGGGGUCCCCUACAGAGAAGCCACCUCCCCUGCAAACAAUACAAAGACAACAAGGCAACAAGGACCUCUGUUGGCCUCGGGCUUUUAGAACCAAAAUGAGCCAAGAUGAUCAGUGGUACCCAGGCCACAGGAGAACAUUCAAGUGUGACGUCCCCAAGUAUGUUCAAGGAAGAGCAUUGGUGUGGGGCACCUGGGUGGUGCCGUUGGUGAAGCAUCUUAUUCAGCUCAGGUCAGGACCUCAUGCGUUGUGAGAUGGAAUUGGGCUCUUUCCCUCUGCUCCUCCUUCAACUCAUGCUCUCUAAAAUAAAUCUUUUUUAAAAAUCAUGUUUAUUUAGGAAAACAUAAUUCUCGUGACGUCCUUGUUGGAGAUACUUUACGCUAAAAAUGAAAACCCUGCAAGCGCCGUGUAGGGCCACCCUCGCUUAGAGGCGCUAAACCAGGAAAGACCUUCCGGGCCGCGCACGCGCACAGCGCUCUGCCGCAGAGGCCCGACACCACCGCGCAAACCGCCGGGGGGCUGAAGGGGGGAGGGGCCCGCGCACGCGCAGAGCUGCACAACAUGGCGGCUACGAGAGGUCAGGGAAGGGAGAGAGAGGAGAGGGAAACCAUCGUGACCUCCGGAGCAGAUGACACGUACGCUUUCCCCCAGCGUGACUCAAAGGAUGUGAGGUUCCUGCAGAAGGCGGCCUAAAAGUGGAUGGGCGAAGAGAAAUGGGAAACCGAGCUUGAGCUCCAGAACCAGGGAGAGGGGAUGGGAGACCCCGACAGCAAGCCUGUCCAUUCAGUCCCGAUCAGCCUGGAGCCCCACACGGAAGAAUGGUUGCUGACCUCAUCUCAGAACAUGUCCAAGCCUCCCCCCUCACGUGGGUGCUGCGCAUGCCUUCCAGACGAACCUCUUCAGCCUUCACCUUCUGUCCAUACCGGCCAAAGAUGGGUGUUCAAGAUCCUCAUCUGUAACAACGUGCUUGGCGCACCCAUUAUGGUCACAGUUCUGUGGAGCUUUAUCAAUAAAAUUAGACUGUGCAGACAAACUACAGAAAGCUCCAUCCCCCUCCCUCCAGCAGCUGAGCCAGGCAGGGGAGGGAGCCCACAUGCAUGACUUAAUCUGACUUUGUUAGCGUCCUGCUGGCU